rnacentral:rRNA from 1 species
ACUGCAGUCGAGCGAACAGACGAGGAGCUUGCUCCUUUGACGUUAGCGGCGGACGGGUGAGUAACACGUGGGUAACCUACCUAUAAGACUGGGAUAACUUCGGGAAACCGGAGCUAAUACCGGAUAAUAUUUCGAACCGCAUGGUUCGAUAGUGAAAGAUGGUUUUGCUAUCACUUAUAGAUGGACCCGCGCCGUAUUAGCUAGUUGGUAAGGUAACGGCUUACCAAGGCGACGAUACGUAGCCGACCUGAGAGGGUGAUCGGCCACACUGGAACUGAGACACGGUCCAGACUCCUACGGGAGGCAGCAGUAGGGAAUCUUCCGCAAUGGGCGAAAGCCUGACGGAGCAACGCCGCGUGAGUGAUGAAGGUCUUCGGAUCGUAAAACUCUGUUAUUAGGGAAGAACAUACGUGUAAGUAACUAUGCACGUCUUGACGGUACCUAAUCAGAAAGCCACGGCUAACUACGUGCCAGCAGCCGCGGUAAUACGUAGGUGGCAAGCGUUAUCCGGAAUUAUUGGGCGUAAAGCGCGCGUAGGCGGUUUUUUAAGUCUGAUGUGAAAGCCCACGGCUCAACCGUGGAGGGUCAUUGGAAACUGGAAAACUUGAGUGCAGAAGAGGAAAGUGGAAUUCCAUGUGUAGCGGUGAAAUGCGCAGAGAUAUGGAGGAACACCAGUGGCGAAGGCGACUUUCUGGUCUGUAACUGACGCUGAUGUGCGAAAGCGUGGGGAUCAAACAGGAUUAGAUACCCUGGUAGUCCACGCCGUAAACGAUGAGUGCUAAGUGUUAGGGGGUUUCCGCCCCUUAGUGCUGCAGCUAACGCAUUAAGCACUCCGCUGGGGAGUACGACCGCAAGGUGAACUCAAAGGAAUUGACGGGGACCCGCCACAAGCGUGAGCAUGUGGUUUAAUUCGAAGCAACGCGAAGAACCUUACCAAAUCUUGACAUCCUUUGACAACUCUAGAGAUAGAGCCUUCC